UCCUACGGGAGGCAGCAGUGGGGAAUAUUGCACAAUGGGCGAAAGCCUGAUGCAGCAACGCCGCGUGAGGGACGACGGCCUUCGGGUUGUAAACCUCUUUUAGCAGGGAAGAAGCGAAAGUGACGGUACCUGCAGAAAAAGCACCGGCUAACUACGUGCCAGCAGCCGCGGUAAU
rnacentral:rRNA from 1 species